AGGGGGGCGCAAACGUUGUUCGGAAUUACUGGGCAUAAAGAGCACGUAGGCGGUCUACUAAGUUACUCGUGAAAGCCCCCGGCUCAACCGGGGAACAGCAUGUGAUACUGGUAGACUCGAGAGUAGCAGGGGUGAAUGGAACUCCAGGUGGAGCGGUGAAAUGCGUAGAUAUCUGGAGGAACACCGGUGGCGAAAGCGGUUCACUGGGCUACUUCUGACGCUGAGGUGCGAAAGCUAGGGGAGCAAACGGGAUUAGAUACCCCGGUAGUCCUAGCCGUAAACGAUGGGCACUAGGUAGAGGAGAUAUCCUAUGAUCUUCCCUGCUGAAACAAAUGCAUUAAGUGCCCCGCCUGGGGAGUACGCUCGCAAGGGUA
rnacentral:rRNA from 1 species